rnacentral:rRNA from 1 species
GAGUUUGAUCUUGGCUCAGAUUGGACGCUGGCGGAAUGCUUUACACAUGCAAGUCGAGCGGCAGCGCGGGGCAACCUGGCGGCGAGCGGCGAACGGGUGAGUAAUGCAUCGGAACAUGUCCAUGUCGUGGGGGAUAGCCCGGCGAAAGCCGGAUUAAUACCGCAUACGCCCGAGAGGGGAAAGUGGGGGGCCGCAAGGCCUCACGCGAUUGGGUUGGCCGAUGUCCGAUUAGCUAGUUGGCGGGGUAAGAGCCCACCAAGGCGAUGAUCGGUAGCUGGUCUGAGAGGAUGAUCAGCCACACUGGGACUGAGACACGGCCCAGACUCCUACGGGAGGCAGCAGUGGGGAAUUUUGGACAAUGGGGGCAACCCUGAUCCAGCCAUUCCGCGUGAGUGAAGAAGGCC